UUGAGCGGAGAUAUAUGGAGCUUGCUUUAUAUAACUUAGCAGCGAACGGGUGACUAACACGUAGAUAAUCUAUCCUAUACUGGGGGAUAGCCCGAUGAAAGUUGGAUUAAUACCGCAUAUAGCUAUAUAGUUGCAUGAUUAUGUAGUGAAAGAUUUAUUGGUAUAGGAGGAGUCUGCGGCACAUUAGCUAGUAGGUGAGGUAAAGGCUUACCUAGGCGACGAUGUGUAGCCGGUCUGAGAGGAUGAACGGCCACAAUGGAACUGAGACACGGUCCAUACUCCUACGGGAGGCAGCAGUGGGGAAUAUUGCACAAUGGGGGAAACCCUGAUGCAGCAACGCCGCGUGAGUGAAGAAGGUUUUCGGAUUGUAAAGCUCUGUUAGCAGGGAAGAGGAAGGACGGUACCUGCAGAGGAAGCCACGGCUAACUACGUGCCAGCAGCCGCGGUAAUACGUAGGUGGCAAGCGUUGUUCGGAAUAACUGGGCGUAAAGGAUGCGUAGGCGGUUAAACAAGUUAUAUGUUAAAUAUAUAGGCUUAACCUGUAGAAAGCAUAUAAAACUGUUUAACUAGAGUGCAGGAGAGGUAAGUGGAAUUCCUAGUGUAGCGGUGAAAUGCGUAGAGAUUAGGAAGAACACCAGUGGCGAAGGCGACUUACUGGACUGUAACUGACGCUGAGGCAUGAGAGCAUGGGGAGCAAAC
rnacentral:rRNA from 1 species